rnacentral:rRNA from 1 species
UAGGGAAUCUUCCGCAAUGGGCGAAAGCUUGACGGAGCAACGCCGCGUGAGUGAUGAAGGUUUUCGGAUCGUAAAACUCUGUUAUUAGGGAAGAACAAAUGUGUAAGUAACUAUGCACGUCUUGACGGUACCUAAUCAGAAAGCCACGGCUAACUACGUGCCAGCAGCCGCGGUAAUACGUAGGUGGCAAGCGUUAUCCGGAAUUAUUGGGCGUAAAGCGCGCGUAGGCGGUUUUUUAAGUCUGAUGUGAAAGCCCGCGGCUCAACCGUGGAGGGUCAUUGGAAACUGGAAAACUUGAGUGCAGAAGAGGAAAGUGGAAUUCCAUGUGUAGCGGUGAAAUGCGCAGAGAUAUGGAGGAACACCAGUGGCGAAGGCGACUUUCUGGUCUGUAACUGACGCUGAUGUGCGAAAGCGUGGGGAUCAAACAGG